AAAGCGGCGGCAGCGGCUCUAGCGGCAGUAGCAGCAGCGCCGGCUCCCGUGUGGAGGUGCUCUUAGCGGUGUUGUUUCUCGAGCAGCAGCAGCUCUCACUACAGCGCCAGGACGAGUCCGGUUCGUGUUCGUCCGCGGAGAUCUCUCUCAUCUCGCUCGGCUGCGGGAAAUCGGGCUGAGGCGACUGAGUCCGCGAUGGAGAAAACUUUAGAAACUGUUCCUUUGGAGAGGAAAAAGAGAGAAAAGGAACAGUUCCGUAAACUUUUUAUUGGUGGCUUGAGCUUUGAAACCACAGAAGAAAGUUUGAGGAACUACUACGAGCAAUGGGGGAAACUUACAGACUGUGUGGUCAUGAGAGAUCCUGCAAGCAAAAGAUCAAGAGGAUUUGGUUUUGUAACUUUUUCGUCCAUGGCUGAGGUUGACGCUGCCAUGGCUGCAAGACCUCAUUCAAUUGAUGGGAGAGUGGUUGAGCCAAAACGUGCUGUUGCAAGAGAGGAAUCUGGAAAGCCAGGGGCUCACGUAACUGUGAAGAAGCUGUUUGUUGGUGGAAUUAAAGAAGAUACUGAGGAACAUCAUCUUAGAGAUUACUUCGAAGAGUAUGGAAAGAUUGAUACCAUUGAGAUAAUUACUGAUAGGCAGUCUGGAAAGAAAAGAGGCUUUGGAUUUGUUACCUUUGAUGAUCAUGAUCCCGUGGAUAAGAUUGUGUUGCAGAAAUAUCAUACCAUCAAUGGUCAUAAUGCAGAAGUAAGAAAGGCUCUGUCUAGACAAGAAAUGCAGGAAGUCCAGAGUUCUAGAAGUGGAAGAGGCGGCAACUUCGGUUUUGGAGAUUCUCGUGGUGGUGGUGGAAAUUUUGGACCAGGCCCGGGAAGUAACUUUAGAGGAGGAUCUGAUGGAUAUGGAAGUGGUCGUGGAUUUGGGGAUGGCUAUAAUGGGUAUGGAGGAGGACCUGGAGGUGGCAAUUUUGGAGGUAGCCCUGGUUAUGGAGGAGGAAGAGGAGGAUAUGGUGGUGGAGGACCUGGAUAUGGCAACCAGGGUGGGGGCUACGGAGGUGGUUAUGACAACUAUGGAGGAGGAAAUUACGGAAGUGGAAAUUACAAUGAUUUUGGAAAUUAUAACCAGCAACCUUCUAACUAUGGUCCAAUGAAGAGUGGAAACUUUGGUGGUAGCAGGAACAUGGGGGGACCAUAUGGUGGAGGAAACUAUGGUCCUGGAGGCAGUGGAGGAAGUGGGGGUUAUGGAGGGAGAAGCCGAUAUUGAGCUUCUUCCUAUUUGCCAUGGGCUUCACUGUAUAAAUAGGAGAGGAUGAGAGCCCAGAGGUAACAGAACAGCUUCAGGUUAUCGAAAUAACAAUGUUAAGGAAACUCUUAUCUCAGUCAUGCAUAAAUAUGCAGUGAUAUGGCAGAAGACACCAGAGCAGAUGCAGAGAGCCAUUUUGUGAAUGGAUUGGAUUAUUUAAUAACAUUACCUUACUGUGGAGGAAGGAUUGUAAAAAAAAAAAAAUGCCUUUGAGACAGUUUCUUAGCUUUUUAAUUGUUGUUUCUUUCUAGUGGUCUUUGUAAGAGUGUAGAAGCAUUCCUUCUUUGAUAAUGUUAAAUUUGUAAGUUUCAGGUGACAUGUGAAACCUUUUUUAAGAUUUUUCUCAAAGUUUUGAAAAGCUAUUAGCCAGGAUCAUGGUGUAAUAAGACAUAACGUUUUUCCUUUAAAAAAAUUUAAGUGCGUGUGUAGAGUUAAGAAGCUGUUGUACAUUUAUGAUUUAAUAAAAUAAUUCUAAAGGAAAUUGUGUAAUUAUAGACUUUUUAUUUUAAAUAAGUUAAGGAGUGGGUAGUAUAAUUAAGGUCCUUUGCAAAGUUGUUGUUAUAUUUGUGUAAGAUAAAUGCUGGUCAGAUAUAAGUGUGUUGUCUGCAAUUCAUCAGGAUUAAAUUAUCUAGAUAACUUAAGGGAUAUCUCUGCAAAGAGAAACACCUUUUUAGAUCUUUUAGAUGCUGCUUCUUCAAUGCAAGGAAAGGAAAUAACCCCAGCGAGGUACUCUUCAGGGAUACAGGUCUAGUACAAGAGAACUCUUGACGGCUACUAAGUUCAGCCAGUCUUAAAAAACUGUGCUGUUUCUACAAAGCUUUAACUACAGUAGUUUAUAAGGAUGACAACGAAAGCUGAGGGUGUAGAGCAAAAUAGUUCUAAGCUUCAGUUAAACUUCUUUAGGUAAGAUCUUAUUUACUUUUCCUUUCUUAAUUUUCCUCCCCAAAAGAUAAACUAAUACUACUCUUCAAUGGUCUUUCAGUAUAGUGGUUCUUAUGUAGUUUAACAUAGCUAUAAAUUUGAGUUUAACAAUUUAUAAACUCAAGAGAAUCUUAUAAACCCUGUUUUCCAAUCUGUCAUUUACUUAAAUUAUUUUGGUUGUUUUUUUCCCCCCUUUUUUCCCUUCUUUCCCACCCCUUCCUCCCUCUAUGAAGAUUCAGGUGCUUAACAUAUCAUUUUUUUCCCUGCUGGAAUUUAGCAUUGAUAUGAACCAUGGACAAGUAUAUUCUGCUGCCACAAAGACUGUAAAGUGCUUCAUUUCAACAGCUGAGGCGCAAGCCAAGUGAUCAUUAAUAAAGCUUUUCUUGGUUCCUUCAGUGGUGUUGGUAGUAAAAUGGAAGGUGUCUUGCUGCAGGUAACUAAUGAAGAAGUGGUCAACCACAGAGUCUUCAAGAAAUAAGAAAUACUGUACCAUCUGAAAGUAGUUCUUGUUGGUGCCUUCAUUUAAAAAAAAAAGCACUUUAAGAUUAAAGGGAAAUGUUUUCUGAUAAAAUACAUCAUUUAGUACAGGUUCUUAAUAUAAAACCAUUACAAAUUGAGUACUGUUUGUAAAAGAGUAACAUCAAGUAAGCUAGAGAGAGAAAUGUAUCAUGUUUUAAAUUAGGUUUUGUGAGUAGACAGAUUAAAAUUCUAUUUUAAAUAUAAAGUUUAUAAAAUAAACAGUUUUGUAUUCAAAUACUUGGUGUAAUGUUUACACAUAAAAUGUGUGAAUCUUGUUCUAUCAACUUACAGUUGUCUAAAAGAUUGCCAUCCCCUAGAGUUUUAAAGCAGUUUCACCAAUCUAUGCAUAUUGCCAUUUUUAUUUCAAUAUUGAUAGUCAAGAAAAGCAUUGUGGACAUUAUUGGCUGUCCCUAAUAAAAUGCCAUUCUUUUUAUACUGUA